rnacentral:rRNA from 1 species
GAUGCCUACGGGGCGCAGCAGUGGGGAAUAUUGCACAAUGGGGGGAACCCUGAUGCAGCGACGCCGCGUGGGUGAAGGAGCACCUCGGUGCGUAAAGCCCUAUCGGCAGGGAAGAAAAGCGAACAGGUUCGCCUGGACGGUACCUGACUAAGAAGCCCCGGCUAACUGCGUGCCAGCAGCCGCGGUAAUACGUAGGGGGCAAGCGUUAUCCGGAUUCACUGGGUGUAAAGGGCGUGUAGCCGGGCCGGCAAGCCAGA